rfam:Gossypium hirsutum cultivar TM-1 unplaced genomic scaffold scaffold417.1, whole genome shotgun sequence
AAUAGAAGAAUGACAAAUUAGAUUUUUCCUCCUGAUUUUCAGCCUUUUCUUCUUGAAAAAAUUCAAAUCCAACUAAAAAUGUUAAAUAUCAAGAGGAAAAAGUUGAUUUAUCAUUCUCCUAUU